UGGGAAAUGUGAAGUUCAAGGAGUAUAUAGUAAGACGUUUCUUUGGACUUCGUCAUUUUCCAUU
rnacentral:pre_miRNA from 2 species